rnacentral:rRNA from 1 species
GAGUUUGAUCCUGGCUCAGAUUGAACGCUGGCGGCAUGCCUUACACAUGCAAGUCGAACGGCAGCACGGGAGCUUGCUCCUGGUGGCGAGUGGCGAACGGGUGAGUAAUGCAUCGGAACGUAUCCUGGAGUGGGGGAUAACGUAGCGAAAGUUACGCUAAUACCGCAUAUUCUGUGAGCAGGAAAGCGGGGGACCUUCGGGCCUCGCGCUCUUGGAGCGGCCGAUGUCGGAUUAGCUAGUUGGUGAGGUAAAGGCUCACCAAGGCGACGAUCCGUAGCAGGUCUGAGAGGAUGAUCUGCCACACUGGAACUGAGACACGGUCCAGACUCCUACGGGAGGCAGCAGUGGGAAUUUUGGACAAUGGGGGCAACCCGUGAUCCAGCCAUGCCGCGUGAGUGAAGAAGGCCUCGGUUGUAAG